UACCCAUGGUUAGGACACAUAUUCAACAACUCCUUAAAUCUCUCACAAGACUAAUACAAAGUCUCACUAUCCUCUUGUGCAAAGGUGGAGAUUUAUCUUUUUAAAGCG